GGCCCAGGAGUGAUAAGCGUGAACUAGAGAGUGCUGUGCAGGAGGAAGCUGGGGCCGCCGUCGGGCCUUCUCCCUCCAGGGGCCCAAGAGCCACUGGUACUCAGUGUCUGGGUGGGGGCAGGGGGGAUUUUUGUUCUCCCAGCACCUGCGGCUGUUGAGACCAGAGAAGCUGGUGGUCGACCACAGCCUGGGGUAUUAGUUCACCCCUAGCUUCUCCCCAGCGAGACCCCAGGGCCCUUGGGCACAGGGGAUUAAGCCUCUAUCUGCUUACGUGCAAGCGGAAGAAAUAGGCCCAGAGAGCAACAGUGGCGGGUCUGCAGUCACACAGCCAACUUGCGCUUGUGGCAGUGGCAAGGUUGGUGAGUAUCUGAGUCUUCAGGCCACGGCAUUUUCCGCUCGAGUGGAGCCUGAAGUUCUGAGGGUACCCCUCACUCAAGCUCCAGGCGUCAGGAAAAGAACAUUCCACGAAGUCCAUCUGGAAGACGGUCCUUUCCCUGCUGCCCCCAGGUGGAUGCCAACUUGGGCUGGGGCCAUCUCCAAGGUGUCCUCCCUCUCACGGCCUGUGCCUGGGCUGGGAAGAUGUGAGCAGAGGUGAACUUUACAGGUGAGGCUCCCCGGGCACCUCUCCAGCAUGGUGAGGUCAGGGUAGCUGGUCUUCUAACGUCAUCUUGGGGCUCCUAAGUUGUGUGCCUCAAGCCAGGCAGAAGCUGUCACACAUUGUCCCUUUUACUACAUUCUAUUGAGGCAGCUAUAAAAAGUUACAAAGGGGGCCGGGUGUGGUGGCUCAUGCCUGUAAUCCCAGCACUUUGGGAGGCUGAGGUGGGUGGA
rnacentral:lncRNA from 1 species